rnacentral:rRNA from 1 species
UUGAAAUUUUUAAAGUGUAACAAGGUUU